rfam:Streptomyces acidiscabies strain NCPPB 4445 genomic scaffold scf_64481_235.1, whole genome shotgun sequence.
CUUCAGCGAUCCCAGCCACAGCGGACGAUCCUCCGGCCGGUCCUGCCCAUAAGUCGCCAGCAGCGCCUGGGCCUC